CCUGCACAGUGAACGCGGGUCCGCCACGUUGUGUCCUUCCUGCGGUUGCCUCGGGAGAAAAACUGCCCCGCAGACCGGGCCCCGAACGCGCCUCUCGUGUGUUUCAAUUAGCCGGUAGUUGUUAAUUCAGAGGGGAGCUGUCACGGUAUUUUCCCGAGCUAACGUGUUGCAGGAAUCGAACGGCAGGGGGCGCCAUUUACUUAACAACGGGCGAGGGCUCGGACUGUUGGGUGGACAAAAACGAACAUGGUGAAGGUGUCACUUUGGACUCCGGUCACAGGGUAUAACGGACUGCAGACUGAAAAAUGCAUCUUCCUGCGUGGAUGUACUGCGGGAUGGGGACACACUGGUUCUCUCUCACCAUCCAUCGGCGGCCUCUCCAACAUUUCCACAGGGCUGCCUUGGAUGAGGAACACUUCUACACGAGGGAACAUCGCUGACAGACCCACCGUGUCCAGGUAGUCCUGAGGAAACACACAAACCAACCGAUUGCUGCUACAGUGGGUGAGAGUCUUCUAAAAUCCAAAUCCUCUUUGGCAAUGCUUUCUUUUACCUAUCAUUACACAAUAAUUUAGGAGAUAAUUUAAAGAAUUUGGUCAUUUGGUAGUAAUUAUA